rnacentral:rRNA from 1 species
AGAGUUUGAUCCUGGCUCAGGGUUAACGCUGGCGGCGUGCCUAACACAUGCAAGUCGAACGAGGGCUCGUCUCCCGCAAGGGAGACGGGUUCCUAGUGGCAGACGGGUGAGUAACACGUGGGCAACCUGUCCUUUCGUGGGGGAUAACACCGAGAAAUCGGUGCUAAUACCGCAUGUCAUCACCGGGGGCAUCCUCGGUGAGAAAAGCAGCAAUGCACGAGAGGGUGGGCCCGCGGCCUAUCAGCUAGUCGGUGGGGUAACGGCCUACCGAGGCUUUGACGGGUAGCUGGUCUGAGAGGAUGACCAGCCACACUGGGACUGAGACACGGCCCAGACUCCUACGGGAGGCAGCAGUGGGGAAUAUUGCGCAAUGGGCGAAAGCCUGACGCAGCGACGCCGCGUGGGUGAUGAAGGCCUUCGGGUCGUAAAGCCCUGUCGCAGGGGAAGAACAAGCAUCGGGACAAUACCCCGGUGCCCUGACGGUACCCUGCAAGAAAGCACCGGCUAACUCCGUGCCAGCCGCCGCGGUAAUAC